UUAGGCCCUUAUCCAAACCGCAAACCGAACUUUCACCCCUAUCCAUUAGUAUGGUAUAUGAUUUGAUAUUUUACAUUUAAUGACAUGUAUAAUUAAUAAUUUAUUUAAUUUUUGUACUAUACUACUAGUUACUUCUAAUAAUCUAUUUGUUACAAAAAUAAGCUACUUACUUUUUAUGCUUGCAACUUGCUAACUAAUGGUACAAAUUUUCUUAAUAUGUUAAACUAAAAAAAUAAAGAAAAAGAAUGAAAAAAAAAAAUCGAGUGUCUACAUGUAUCUUACCAUAAAGGAGCCUAAUUUUCCCUCCAUGUUUUCCUCCAUUUUUUCCCUCCUAAAAUACUAAACCAAUACUGAUUUACUUCCUUCAUCAAAAACAAAUCACAUGUCACUACUCUUCCUAAAUAUCUCAACCUCAAAUUCCCAACACUUACCCAAAGAUGAAAACAAAAACAUGGAGCGUGGACUUUGAAGAUUCAUCUUUCUUCAAAACAUGGAGUAGUGCACUUUGGAGAAUGGAGAUUCAUCUUUUUUUUUUUCUCCGAGCUAGUGGAAUUAGAGAUUUGGAGGAAUCAUCUCAACUUUCAUUGUUAAUAGGCGGAGAAUAUUUCGUAGGAGACUUUUAAGGAGUUAAAAGUGGCAUGCAGACUAGUUUACAC